rnacentral:rRNA from 1 species
UACGUAGGGGGCAAGCGUUGUCCGGAUUUAUUGGGCGUAAAGAGCGUGUAGGCGGCCGCACAGGUCCGUUGUGAAAACUGGAGGCUUAACCUUCAGACGUCGAUGGAAACCGUGCGGCUAGAGUCCGGAAGAGGAGAAUGGAAUUCCUGGUGUAGCGGUGAAAUGCGCAGAUAUCAGGAGGAACACCGGUGGCGAAGGCGGUUCUCUGGGCAUGAUCUGACGCUGAGGAGCGAAAGUGUGGGGAGCGAACAGG